ACUCUUGAGCGAGCUCUUAACCAACUGAGUCACUCAGCCGGCCCGUACCUGUGUAUUUUUUAAUAUUCCUUUCUGAAUCGGUCUGAGUUCAAUUAGGAGAAAAGAAUUAAAGUUAUUGGGACACAGAAAGCUUUACCUAAAGAAUUGUUAACUUUAACAGAGGACUGGAUUAAUGAGGGAUUGGCAAGGAGAAUGCUGGAGAAUACAGAAAUAAUAGAUAAAAGUUGUAUCCUGCUCCCUGGUCUGAGAAAGAGUGCCCAAGAAGUGUCCCUUUUCUCUCUCCCCCUAGGACUGAGAUCCAGACCUUGUUGGAGAGGGCACGGCUGUGACUCACUGAAUGACAGAGAAGUUGCUAUGGUGCCCCAUCAGUAAAUCCUGUUGGAAAUCCACCCUUAAGAGCACCAGGAAAAGCUGCUGAAGGGAGUUGUUGAGAGGAGUGGAGUAGCAGGGGAGGCUGCUGGGUGAGGGGUGCUAAUGACUGGACUCUGAAGUUUCUCUUUUUCAUCCUUUAAAUGGUGCAGUGAACAGUGCUUUCUGACUGGAGAAAUCAAGAGGGAUGGGCAGACUAACUGAAAUUGCUAUUUUAUUAAAAGUAAUGUUGCUAAAGCUUUCGGGAUGACAGAUACAUUUCAGUAGCACCCAUGUAGUACCAAUUUUCUUUCCUACUCCUAGGAAUUAAAAUCUUCUCAAGUCGUCAAAAA